rnacentral:rRNA from 1 species
GAUCAUGGCUCAGGAUGAACGCUAGCGACAGGCUUAACACAUGCAAGUCGAGGGGCAGCGGGGAGUAGCAAUACUCUGCCGGCGACCGGCGCACGGGUGAGUAACGCGUAUGUAACCUGCCUUAUACAGGGGGAUAGCCCAUGGAAACGUGGAUUAAUAUCCCAUAGUACUGAGAAUCCGCAUGGUCUUUCAGUUAAAGCUUCGGUGGCAUAAGAUGGACAUGCGUCCUA